AUUGCUAUAUAAAUGAUAUUGCUAUAUAAAUAGUAGGAGUGCAUAGUGGCCCGUAUAGCAGGCAUUAACAUUCCUGAU
rfam:Serratia symbiotica str. &apos;Cinara cedri&apos;, complete genome.